rnacentral:rRNA from 1 species
UACAGAGGGUGCGAGCGUUGUCCGGAAUCACUGGGCGUAAAGGGCGCGUAGGCGGCCUGAUAAGUCGGGGGUGAAAUCCUGUGGCUUAACCACUGGGCUGCCUCCGAGACUGUCGGGCUCGAGCACAGUAGAGGCAGGUGGAAUUCCCGGUGUAGCGGUGGAAUGCGUAGAGAUCAGGAGGAACACCCGUGGCGAAGGCGGCCUUCUGGGUCCGCCCUGACGCUGAGGCGCGAAAGCGUGGGGAGCGAACGGG